CAAACACAUACUGAGAUACAUUUACAGACACACACACAGACCUACUGACAGACAUACUGGCACACACCCAGGCAGACAUACUGACACACACAGACACAUACUGGCACACACAGACACAUACUGACACACACCCAGACAGACAUACUGGCACACACCCAGACAGACAUACUGACACCCAGACAGACAUACUGGCACACAGAUAUACUGACACACACACAGACAGACCUACUGACACACACGGAUCUACUGACAGACACACACGCAAACACAC